ACGUUCUGUUGCGCCGUGAUUCAUGGUUUUUCCCCGUCCUUUUUUGGGCGCUGACUUUUCUUAUCAGGCCCGCUGAAUUUUUCAAUCCAACCCGUUAUGCUCCCCUCGCUAUCCCGCAUCUGUGGCUUCCUCUUUCUCUUCCCAUCCUCGUCAUUUCCUCUUUGCCAUUUCACACAUGCAUCCCCUGGAACAGAGGUUGGGAGAGAUGGCAAUGGCGAUUUGGAUCUCCCUCUUGGCGAUCGAUGCAGUUGGUUGUUGGUGACUCAUCUGCACUCUUUGUCCCACUCCCCUGCUGCCUCCGCGCCCCGCUCGACCUCCCGUCGGUUGUCUGCAGGAUAUCUCGCCCCCCGCACCAACCACGGCCCCAAUUUCCCGCCUCCUGCCGAUUUUUGUUCAUCUGAUUCGGUCCCUGUGCAUGUCCCAGUCGGAUGGGAUGCUUUUUGUUUCAGUUCAGAUCCCUUUGAUUUGCUUGUACGGCUUGUUUCCUCGCUCAACAUCACCUACCCAGCAACCAAACUAGUCUACUUUGUACUUCCCUAUUGGUCUCGAUGAGCACUGGUUCUCAUUUGUCGUUUGCAUCAAAGAUAAAGCUUUUGUGUUUCUUGAUUCGGCUUAUGGAUCGUAUCACAGAGAUAUCCGUGAUGACCUGGGAGGCAAUGCCAAGUGAGGUUCAGAAUGUGCGCGGUCCUAGCACAAAUGGUGGCUGAGUUCUUAUUUUACUAGCAUGUAAUCCAAGUGAGGUUCAGCAAGUGAGGCAAUGCCAAGUAGCAAUCAAGCUGAGCAUAGCAGUAUUUUUGGUUUUAGUAGUGGUCUGUAUGUUUAAUAUUACACUGUAAUUAUUAAUGUUUAAUCUUAGCAAACUAUUUGGAUUAUUGGUGGAUUUACAAUGUCAUUUUAGUGCA